GUUUCAAGUCUCUGGUUCAAUGGGCUGCUCGAAGCCAGGACUGGGUAAUUCUUUCCAGACGUCUUGACUUCUCCUUCCCCGCCGUUGUUGCCCUUCUGCCUCCUCCAACUUAAGGGGGUCUUAACAAGUGAGCUGGAUCUUCUGAGGGGUGGACUUCUUUGGAACUCGACAGGACCUUGAAGACUGGGUUCUUAGUCCUUAUCACAUAUAUGGGCUAUAAUGAAUAAGUCUAAACAGAAAAGUCGAAUAAACUGGAAAUGAUGCUUUCAUCACGUCGCACAAGAAAAACACAUUUGUUGUUUCUCGCCUCUUGUAAUUCAUGACCCAUAAGACAAAAGUAAAAUGUUCUCUGACUGCAAAUGGAUGUAAAAACUGAUUAUACAGCUACACAUUUCUGUCAUCCUCCCAUCUCUACCCCAAAGAAAGAGGAGCUGUUUGGAUCAGAAGAUGACAUCCUUUCACCCAUCCCUUUCAGGUUUUGACAUCCUAAAAUGUACCUUAUGGAACCCAUACCUGUUAUGUUUUCACCUGUACAAGGCAACAGAGAAAACAUGGUAGUUUUUACUUGAGUAGAUGUGACUUAGCAAUAUGUUGUUGCUGACCUCCAUCCCACAGCACAAAACAUAUGUUUAUAUGUCUGACAGACAAAGUAUCCAGAACAAGGAUUUAGUACCUUCAUAAUCCUCUGUAUAUGUGGUUCUAGAACUUUUGGUAAAGAAACUCUUUAUACUCUUAUUAAUUAUUGAGAACCUCAAAAAAAGUUUAUAUGUUAUAUGUAUCAAUAUUUACCACAUUAGACAUUAAAGCUGACUUAAAAAGUUAAAAUACUUAAGUCAUUUGAAGUAAUAAUAAAUGCAGUUACAUACCAACUUAAUAACAUUUUGCGAAAAUAGCUAUUUUUCAAAACCUAAAGUGAGAAAAGUGGCAGUUUUCCAUUUUUGCAAAUCUCUUUGCUGUCUAGCUGAUAGAAGACAGCUGGAUUCUCCUAUUUGCUUUUGCAUUCAAUUGUUGUUUUGAUUGAAGUAUAUGAAAAAAAAUCUGGUGUCAUACACAUAUAUAAUUGGGAAAUGGAAGAGUAUUUACACAGGCUUUUUUAGAUAUUCUUCCUUUAUACUACAUCAAAACUUGAUAAGUUGCAAUGUUGUGAAUUGGCCCAGGGCUUGGCCCUCUGAAGAUUUGCUGAAAAUCACUGACAUGAAGUAGAUUAAUAGGAUAAAAGGCAUAUACAUUUAUUUAAUGUGUAUACACAGCGGCCUUUAGAAUGAAGACCCAAAGAUACAGAAGAAAUUGUCUGUUUUUAUGCUUAAGUUUAACAAAGAAUGGGCAGCCGUGUAGAGAUAGGAUAGGACAAAAAGGGCAUAAUCUAAUGCUAGCUGACUGAGUGAGGAAGCCCAGCAAGGCCUGUCAGUGUCUCCUCAGUAUGAGUGAAUUUUGUGUACUCUGAUAAUACAUUAAAAUCUGU
rnacentral:lncRNA from 1 species